GGCUUGAGUAAGCAGCUGGGAGAGAGAAACACACUGUAAAAAAUAACAGCAGGAGGGAGAGGGAGGCGGCGCUCAGCUGAUUCUCUGGUCCAACAGCCGAGCAGCCCUAAUGACGUCAUCACGUGACUCAGAAGCUGCAAAGCAGCAGCACAGAGGAAGAUUCUGCACAGAAUCAUUAAAUCUGCCCAGAGGAACAUCGGCUGCUCUCUAGGACUCCACCGGUCCGGUUCGGUCCGGUCCGGCUGCCUCAGGACAACCAGGAGCGACUCGUCACAGCUGGACGCCAUCAGCUCCAAGCAUACUGCCAGCAUUUCCAGACCGAGCUGCUCGUCCAGAGAAGAGCUUCUGCUGUGACCUCUCUAUCACCGGCCCGUUCCUCGCUGACCUUUGACACCGACUCUGUGUUUGUGUCUGCAGCCUGAGAGACGGUUGAGUCUGAAACACAGAAGAUCAGCUGAACAGCUCUCCUGUUGUCGCCUGGUUCACAGGCUGGCCUCAGUAGCCGGGUUUCUCCGGAUCGGCCGUUUCCUCCUGAAACACGGUGGACUGACCGCCGACCGAAACGCAGCGUCUGAAGAGAAAGUGACGAAUGAGAGUCGAGUAUUUGAGGAUUUUUCCAGGAAGAAUCUCCCUGCAGACGAAUCUCAUGGCUGGUCGUUAUUCUCAAUUCAAAGACUAUAUAAAGACAAAAUAUUUUCAAUUCAGAAAUUCUUUUUGCAUCUAAAUUAUUGAAUAAGUAUCUAAUGGAAUAAUAAUAGAAACAUUUUCAUCUGUUAGAGUCUGUGUAAUGAAUUAAGUGACACUAACAGGUUGAAGUGAUGUUAACCAGUAACUGCUGAUGGAGACGAACGCUGUGGUUUCCACAUCUUUCAUCCCCAUAAACAUGGACUAUUCAGACUGGGAAACGUGUUGCACAAAGAGAAACACGGUGUUUGUGUGUCCAGCUGGCCCGCAGCAUGACUUCCUGCUCUGAGCUGCUUUUCAGCCAGAAACUCUCAGAUUAUUUAGAGAAGCUGCGUUAACUCGUCUUCAUGAAUGCUUAUCAUGAUAAAUAUUGAUAUUUAUCUGGAGUUGUGCUCCAGUUCGUUGAGAAAUGAUGAAAUAUCAAUUGCUAAUUUGAAACAAACUUUUAAAAUGUGAUGAAAAGUAAAAUGGGAAUUAGACGGAUUUCCAUCUGCUGGCACAAACCCGACCAGAGACUUCCUGUUUCCGUUUAGCAGUUAGCGGGGAUCUGGGCCGGUUAGUGGGGAUCUGUACUGGUUAGCGUUUAGCGGGGAUCUGGGUUAGCAGUUAGCGGUUAGUGGGGAUUUGGGCCGGUUAGCGGUUAGUGGGGAUCUGGGUUAGCGGUUAGCUGUUAGUGGGGAUCUGGGUUAGCGGUUAGCGUUUAGCAGGGAUCUGGGCUGAUUAGCGAUUAGCGGGGAUCUGGGUUAGCGGUUAGCGGCUAGGAAGGAUCCAGCUCUAGAUCUGAUGCAAACGAGUCGCCUGAAGCAACACAAACAACAGGAAAGUUUCACCUGUCCGGUUCGGCCGCUUGGGGAAAACCCGGAUAAAAAACUGAUUUGUUUUCCUUUAACUGCAAUCAGCCGGAAAUCAUCUCCCUGCUAAUAAUUUGCAUGAUUUAUAACACUGUUUCAAUAUUUUCCCUUCAGGACAUAUUUGCAUAAAACAUUUCCAUAUCAAACGUUUUUUAUUUGCUUUCAAAUCAACCGAUCUGAAACUGAACGCUGCAAAAUACAAAAUCUUACCAAAUAGUUUUGUGUUGUUUCCAGUGCAAAUCUUGCUCGAAAGUUACUUGUAGUUAGUUUUAUCUUACUGUAAUAAAAUAUUUACCAUAAACUAAACAGAAAUACUUGAUAAAAUUUUGUGUUUUUGCAGUGAAAAUAUUUGAUUUUCAUAUAGAAACAGUCUAAAGUUAGAGAAUGAAGGAGAGAAGAAGACAGUAAAAGGAUGUAAGAUGUCCAAAUAAGGACUUCCUGUCGGCUGCAGCUGCUGGUCCUGAGAUAAGAUGUCCGUUUGCCUGUUUGCUCAGCGAAGCCGAUCGCUUUGAGGCUUAUCGCUACCUGUCAAUCAUUCACAACGCUCCGGAUUACACAGGAAGCUGGAUUCAGGCGCGGGGGUCACAUCCUGCCGCCGUGUGGUUCUGGUUCUGAUGAAUGUUUUCACACCCUGCCGCAGACUUUAAUGGUUUUACUGGGAUUUUAUGUGAAACAUCAUAAACUGGUGGUGGCUUUCAUUUUAUGUCAAAUAAAAAUCCAAACGAGGCGUCAGGAAUCUGAGUUUAUCCUUUGGAGUUGAUUUCCUCCAGCCUGGAAACAUUCACACUGCAAAAACACAAAAUCUUACCACUUAUUUUAGUCAACUUUCUACUGCAAACGUCUCAGUUCACCUAAAAUAAAACAA